rnacentral:lncRNA from 1 species
CCUCUCCAAAACAUUCUCAUAAUUGUCAUGCAUGUGAGGCAUACCCAUCUAUGCCAACUCAUUAAUAAAUUUAUGUUAGAUUAUAUAUUUAGAUUUCAAGUUAUGUUUGUGUGUGUGACAUAAGUGUAUCAUGCAUGUUAUGUAAUCAAAUUUAUUGAGAUGGAGCUUGUCUCAUUGAAGAUAUUCCCUACAACUUAUGAGAUCACUAUAAAUAAUUCAAAAUGACAUCGCAGUUGAUUGUUUGAACCAUCUAUCUAUAUACGACAUAUUUAUGAAUUUUUACAACCGGUUCUAUAGUCUAUGGAAACAUCUAUGACAUUUGGAUCUUACUAUGAACCAUAUGUUGGCAGUUAUUUAUCACCGAUGGCUUAAGAGAUUUCUUUGUUCUCGACUAGAUGUGUUGAGUAUGUUCAUCUGGGGCCAAAGUCUAUAAACUAAUGACACCCCGCGCGUUGCUGCGGGAUUUUGUUGUCGCGAAGAUGAUAACAGUUGAAAUCAGUUAUAUGCCAAAUUUUAUUUACAUUCAGUGACUGUUGUAUUUGUUUUAUAACAUGCAUCACCGGCAUGAUGAUUUAAACAAUUCAAAAGGAAAAAAAUUGGAAAGCCCAAGAGCUGGAAUAGUUCCUGGCUUCCUACAUGAAUCAUCCUUCAUGGUCUGCUUUUGAACAUAGUUAAAAUGGCCAUAUAAAAUGAAUAGUAUGUCAAGAUCCAAAUCACUCAAUAUAGUAAAACUUGGUAAAAGGAAUAAUUCAGAAUAGUGACCUAUUUCAUUGUUGUAGUUUAUUAGUUGUGCAAACUACAAAAAGAUCUCGAGAAUCUUAGUGGUCAAUCUUAAUCACAUCAUAUACAUCAUGGUUUUUUAUUUCCUUUUGAUUAGUAGAAAAAUCCACCACUGUCAUCAUUGGACAACCAUACAACAACAUCCCUUGUGAAUCCACAUGGAAGCCUCACCAAAGGGACCGCCNNNNNNNNNNNNNNNNNNNNNNNNNNNNNNNNNNNNNNNNNNNNNNNNNNNNNNNNNNNNNNNNNNNNNNNNNNNNNNNNNNNNNNNNNNNNNNNNNNNNNNNNNNNNNNNNNNNNNNNNNNNNNNNNNNNNNNNNNNNNNNNNNNNNNNNNNNNNNNNNNNNNNNNNNNNNNNNNNNNNNNNNNNNNNNNNNNNNNNNNNNNNNNNNNNNNNNNNNNNNNNNNNNNNNNNNNNNNNNNNNNNNNNNNNNNNNNNNNNNNNNNNNNNNNNNNNNNNNNNNNNNNNNNNNNNNNNNNNNNNNNNNNNNNNNNNNNNNNNNNNNNNNNNNNNNNNNNNNNNNNNNNNNNNNNNNNNNNNNNNNNNNNNUGGUGGCGCUAGAUCGCGAGGCGCGGUCGCGAGUCCUCCCGAUCCGUUUUUACCGCCAUUCUGCAUUUCGCAUAUUAACAUGGUUUAUUAGACACUUAACCAUAUUAUGGAAUAGACUAACUCAGAUUUGGAUUUGCUUCUUCAUUCGAGAGAAACAGAAGAAGUGAGGAAAGGCCAUCCCACAGUACUUUGUUCUCUUAGACCAGAACAAUUUUGUGUCACACUUUCUCUACUUUGUUGCCGAAGAUUUGAGGUACUAUGCCUUUUUGCUAUAUAGGGACACAUAUUCAUUUCUGAGCCGGGGCUCAUCUGCAUCCUGUAAACAGUAAAAAAAUACUAAAAGUUUCAUCAAAAUUUUCUCUUUUUUUUUGCAUGGAAUAUGUUCCACAGUGUGAGGCGCAUGCCAAAUUUCAGCUCGUUUGGAAUGCGAGUUGCUCUCAGAGAAAAAAAUCGAUCCCAACAGUACAUGACUAUUUCAUAGACCUUAAAUUUGUCUUUUUGUUAAGAGCUACUCGGAUGUCUAAACGAGCUGAAAUUUGGCACAAACCUCACGCAUGGAAACAUCUUCCGUGCAAAAAGAUCACAAGAUAACAUUCUAAUAGGACCUCACGUUCUCAACUGGAGGAAUUUUUGCGGAUUUUGGUGAGGCUAAAAAAAAAUCCGUAGGCACUCUUCAAAGGAACUUCCCAUACAUAGCUACCGUUUCCGGACUUUAGGAGGAUUCGUGAUCCGGUGGUCAACCCAAGAAAUCACAAGAUAACAUUUGCUAGGAGGACACAUGGACCUCGCUAUCUAGCUGUAGCAUUGAAGCCUGGAACCCAUAAAUAGCACAAGCGUAUUGAUCAACACGCAGAUCCAAACAAGACAUAGAGAUAGAGAGCAGAGCAGAGCUGAGACACAGCCGGAGAGAGAGAGAGAGAGANNNNNNNNNNNNNNNNNNNNNNNNNNNNNNNNNNNNNNNNNNNNNNNNNNNNNNNNNNNNNNNNNNNNNNNNNNNNNNNNNNNNNNNNNNNNNNNNNNNNNNNNNNNNNNNNNNNNNNNNNNNNNNNNNNNNNNNNNNNNNNNNNNNNNNNNNNNNNNNNNNNNNNNNNNNNNNNNNNNNNNNNNNNGGAAGGCGGCGUGCGCAUGGCAGGAGAGCAUGGAGCCAAUGGCCUGCAACCGCAAGAGCAAGACCACACCGGAGCUCUGGAGGAAGGAAGAGGAGGAGCGAAUCAACCAGCAGGGUGCGAGGAUUCAGAGCAAGCUGUGAGCAGCACGGCCAAUCAGCCCAUGAUCUCCGUCCAAUUCGUGCAGAAGGUGUGUAAGUUUGCAUACGCAACUAGAUUAUUCUUCAUCCACGAACUUUUAUUCUUGUUUCGUGCCUGAGAAUCCUUACGUGAUUCGGGCAUGCAUGAUUAUCCACCCAGCACAAAGUAGUUGCACUUGUUCACACCCACCCGUGGAGGGCCGUAGUUCAGGUAGGAGAGAAACAGGGCCGAGUUCAAACACUAGAUAGAAGAGUCAAACAAGUGGACAAAGAUGACAACUUUCGUCUGCAAGGCACUACACGUGAUGAGCCGAUAUAGCAAUCCAAACGCAACAAUAUUAUAUUGUUUCGGCCAAUGGAAAAUUCCAAAGGACUAUUUGUCUGCCUUUGAAAAUGUCGCCUACUGGUUGUGCUCAGUCUUCGCAUUAUAUUGCAAUUGGGUCAGCAGUAGCUAUCCUAUCAUUACGAGUCUCUGGGCAACUUGGACAAGCAAGCAAGCAAGCAAUUGACCUGACCGCGACAUUCUUGGACCAUGGGCGCAGGUACUCGCCGAGAUCCUGGGGACCUACCUGCUCAUCUUCGCCGGCUGCGCGGCGGUGGCCGUGAACCAGAGGACGGCCGGCACGGUGACGUUCCCGGGCGUCUGCAUCACCUGGGGCCUGGCCGUCAUGGUGAUGGUCUACUCCGUCGGCCACAUCUCCGGGGCGCACCUCAACCCCGCCGUCACGCUCGCCUUCGCCACCUGCGGCCGCUUCCCGUGGAGGCAGGUCCCGGCCUACGCGGCGGCGCAGGUGACCGGGUCCACGGCGGCGAGCCUCACGCUGCGGCUGCUGUUCGGGAGCGAGCCGGAGCACUUCUUCGGGACGGUGCCGUCCGGGUCCGACGUCCAGUCGCUGGUGCUGGAGUUCAUCAUCACCUUCUACCUCAUGUUCGUCAUCUCCGGAGUCGCCACCGACAACAGAGCCGUAAGUAAACUGGAGGAGGAGUACUGUGCGAUCACAAUCCUUGUCUUAGCCAUUAAUUUAGUUUUCUACACUUAACUAAUUUUUGAAAAAUCACCGGUCAUAACGCAGCCGCACACACGCACACAUUCACACCACCACACACCUCAGUCUACUCAAGAUCUUGUCAAAAUUAUGGAGCUUAAAGAUUGACGAAGUCGCUACAAACACAUCGCUAUCUACUCAAGAGCGCGGACAUUUGUUUCCUGGGUGUAGACUUGACUUUCUUUUACACAAAUAUGUAAUUUUCAUCGACCAAAAACCAGCAUUGACUUCUGGGCAAAUUUUUUUUACUGCUAUAUACAAGACACUAUUCACACUAAUUUGAUCAAUUAUUUUGUUUUUCACCCUGAAGUCAACGCUGGGUUUUGGUUGGCGGAAAAUUACAUACUAGCGCAAAGAAAAAAAAGAUUCAAAAUAAAGACAGAAAUACCCAAUAUCUUAAGAAAGUCAAGUUUAUUCUAAAAAAAUGUUUGAACUUUUUUGUAAUUUUUUUUCUAAUUUCUAGGUGUAUAUACACCCAUGAACCAAGGGGUAUUUCCCAUAUACUCAACUAAUUGUUUCCAACCAUUUUCUCCCUCUCUUGCAGAUUGGUGAGCUUGCCGGUCUGGCCGUUGGAGCUACUGUGCUACUAAACGUGCUCUUUGCCGGGUAUUCCACGAUAACUGCUACAUUAACUCUAUUUUACUCGCCAUUUUGGACUUUGGUUGUCAACAAAGCCAUCCUUUGAUUGAGACAUGUUGAUGGGUUCCUUUCUUACACACGACGCUUUUAGACUUAGUUAUUCCGUAGUGUGAACAAUUAACUGAUUUACCACAAAAGAAUACUACUCCCUCCGUCCCAUAAUAUGAGACGUUUUUUGACACUACACUAGUGUCAAAAAGCGUCUUACAUUAUGGGACGGAGGGAGUACUUAUUUGCAUAACAAACUUGUGAUUUGUUGCAUGGUCAUGGUUUACCCGUUUCAAAAACUCCACCACAAAGCAGCAUGGCGUCCCAGAUGUCAUGUCCAUGUGGCGGACAACUCAGAUGCCAUGUCAAACAACACUGAAACGAGUUGGACUCGCAAUGUAGAGGUAAAACUAGAUAAUUGCCGCAGAGUAGGUUAGCCUGCUACUGUACGUCUGUCAUUUGUACAUUAGUGUGGUAGAAAUUUAGUGAGUUUUCUACACAAACAACAUGAUUUACAUACCAGCUUACUGUUCAUGUACCCCGUAAAAAAAACUUACUGUUCAUGUGAGUGAGUACAAAAAAACUGGAUUUUAUUAGGUGAAACGACACUGAGACUAUUCGGAAUUGCAAUGUGGAAGUACAAUUAAAGGAUCUUUAAGUUGCAUUACAAGACCAUAAAUUACAAUCUGGAAUUAGAAAAUCAUGGAGUAUACAAUUUGAAUUAUUAUCUAUGAAUUUUGGGAACAAGUAAAAUUAAUUUGAAAACAAUGGGGGCAUCUGUCUUUUAUUUAAGAUAUUUCAUGUGAUUAUUUUUAAAUAUUUGCGUGGCGUGGGAUCCAUGUGUUGGCCGGGUCAGCUACCAAAAACUAGUAUACGUCGGAACGGUUGCAUAGCCAGGAAUUACUCAUGCCCGAGGCCAACUUAGAGCUACAGUAUUGAACAGUAACCAUGGUAGCUACGGUCAGCAGAUGGAGUUGCUGUCAAACCCCAGCCCAUGGCUUGUGUAAAGCGUCGGGCCUGGCUACGUCCCUGCAUAGGAAUAAAAUUAAAGUAUACGGUGAUAAGAGUUCUUUCUGAAAUCAUAUAAGCACUGAUACUGGAUAGUAGGUUAAAAUAUACUUUUGGCUAUAAAUAUUUUAAACAGUGAUAUGGAAGCAGUAUUCAUGAUAAAUCUACUAACAAUAUCAACAUUUGGAGAAAAAACCUAAGCAUUAAUUUGUGCAUAGAAGCAGUUGAAAAUUUUCAAUAUUUUGUUGCACUCUACCAUUGUGUUUCAUGAGAUGAACUUACUAGUAAAAUAUCUCAGAUUUAAAUUUUGUCAUUUUAUUAUAUUGAGAGAUUAAUUUUUGUGUGGACACGGCUGUGAUGUGCAGGCCCAUAUCAGGAGCAUCCAUGAACCCUGCAAGAACCAUCGGUCCGGCGAUGGUCGCCGGCCGCUACACCGGCAUCUGGGUGUAUAUCGUCGGCCCUAUUACUGGCGCGGUUGCCGGUGCAUGGGCUUACAACCUCAUCCGAUUUACCAACAAGCCACUACGAGAGAUCACCAGGACUGGGUCCUUCUUGCGAAGUGCAAGGAUGACAUAGUGUUGUUGCUUGUCGAUAGUGAAUGUCGAUGAUAUGUUGUAAUUCUCCAACCGCCCCGUAAAUUUAUUUGAUUUUCUCUUCAUCAUCUAAUUUCACUAGUAAAUGAUUGGGUCACCUAAUUCUAAUUGUGAUGAUUUUCUCUCUGAAGAAAGUAGGUCGUGCCCUGCAAUUGAGGGCUCUGUUCUACCACAACCUCGACUUAUGUCUCUAAUGUAUAAAACCUCGACCGAUGAGUGAAGUCUUCGGUGAAGGGCAUAGUUGGGGGCCUACGUCAAGAGGAUAUGUGUGCCUCCUAGUGACGUGAUUUGGGGCUCUAUUACAUUAUUUCACAGUUUUCUCCUCGUAAUAUAAAGUCUCUACUUUGAGUUGAAUUCAACAAAGUGUGGUUAUGCUUCUGUAGGUUUGUAGUUGCUGAGUGUGAGAGAGGGUUUGUAUCUCCCCUAGUUAUGUUAGCACCUAUGGUGUAGGCUGGUUGUAUUGUCCUGGGGUGUAUGGAAGUAGAUGCUUCUUACUAGUAGAAGACUCUAUUUUCUUAAAUGAAAAUGGGGGCCUGUAGGCUCCAUUGAUAAAUAAAAACUAACCAUGCCCCGCCUUCCUGAUAACCUACAAGUAUAUGGGAUCUAUCACUGCUUUUUUGAUACGAGAGUUGAACCUAGCUAGGAGCAGAAGGAAUUGGUUAACAGAAACUAGCAAGAGUUCACUAUAAAAGAUGCAAAGAUUGUCUGAUGGUUUGUUUGAAAGCAAGUAAUCGUAAGAAAGUAAAUAUUAACAAAAGUGCAAUGGUGCAGCAAGUGGCUCAAUCAUUAAUUAUACUAAGGACAAACCAACGGUUUUACUUAUAGGGCUCCAGGCAUUCUCGAGGACACGGGUUUUUGGAGCAUUCCUGAAUUUAUUUUUUUAUGAAGUCUCCCGAUGUUAUUAUCUGUAUAACAUCGGCUUUCGCCUCGAGGGGGUUAUCGGCAAUAUAAUUAUUAAGUCUUUGAUCAUUUACCACUCUCGGUUUGGUCCCCUCCACGUUGUUGAUCAUGGUAGCUCCAAACGGGUAAACAUCUUCAACGAUUAACGGUCCUCCCAUUUGGAAAGAAGCUUACCUGCAAAAUAUCUAAAACAAGACAUGUACAAGAGAACUUUAGCACCAAUCUUAAAUUCACGUUCCUGAAUUCCCCUACCUUGAUACAUUCUAACUUUUUAAAACAUAUUAGGAUUCUCAUAGGCUUCAUUCCUCCAUUCAUCUAAAGCGCUCAUGUCAAGCAACCUCUUUUCAUUAGCAAGUUUAAAAUCAUAAUUGAGUUGCUUAACAACCCAAUAAGCUUUAUGUUCUAACUCAAGAGGUCAAUGUCAAGCUUUACCAUAAACCAUUUUAUAUGGUGACAUGCCCAGGGGAUUCUUAUAAGCAGUUCUAUAAGCCUAAAGUGCAUCAUCAAGUUUCUUACAUCAAUCCUUCAUCGACCUAUUGACAAUCUUUUGCAAAAUUAAUUUGAUUUCUCUAUUAGGUAAGUCAAUCUUUCCACUAGACUGGGAUGAUAUGGUGAUGCUACUCUAUGGUUUACUCAUACUUAGCAAGACCUUUUACAACAGUAUCAUGAAUAAAAUAUGAACCACAAUCAGUCAUAAGAUAUCUAGGACUUCCAAACAUAAAAAACAUAACCUCUUUAAGCAUUUUAAUAGAAGUUUAUGAUCAAAACUUUUAGUUGAAAUGUCUUCUACCCACUUAGGGACAUAAUCAACAACAACUAGAAUAUGAGUGUAACCAUGUGAGGUUGGAAAAUGUCCCAUUUAAUUAAAGCCCAGACAUCAAAAUGUUCAAUAACAAGAAAAUAGUUCAUUGGCAUUUCCUGAUGUCUAUUAAUAUUACCAAUUCUUUGACAUGUAUCACAAGAGAAAAUAGACUUACGAGCAUUUUUAUAAAUAGCAGAACAAUAAAAACUAGACUGUAAGACCUUGUAUGCAUUUUUCUAUCUCCAGCCUGGUGCCUUCCAUAAGUACUAGAGUGACACUCCCUUAGUAUCUCUUCCUCCUUAUGUUGAGGUAUACAACGCUUAACAAUAUCAUCUACUCCUUUUCUAUAUAGAUGUGGAUCAUCCCAAAAGUAAUGCCUCAAAUCAAAGAAAAAAAGUUCUCUUUAGUUGAUAAGUAAUAAAACAAAUCUAUGAAAAAGUGGAAAAGUGAAAACUUCCAGGUUGCGACAAAGUGGCCCACAUGCAGUGCGCCACUUGUCAGUAGCAGAGAAGGUGGAAUUGACCUUGCAAGGGGUACACCUUAAUUAGUGAUUUCACGCUUCUAGUAGCGGCAUUUGAAUUUGCCUUUUGAGUGGAGCGACUGAUGGGCGGGCGCGUUGCUCCGUUGGGCCGGCCUCUGGCCUCGAGUGGACUCGGGCCGCUUGUUCUGUUUGAUGCGAGUAGUGAUGACAAUGGCCUGACAGCAAAAGGAGAACUUGUUUUCUUCUUCUUCACUUUCUCUCUCUUGUGAAACAACCUUCUUGUCUAUGCUAAGAAAGAAAGAAAAAAACUUAAUAUGUUUUUUAAUUGUUUCUUCAUUGUUGGAGUAUUUAAAAAUGAUAAAAUUAAUAUUUUUAUUAAUCAUAUCAAUCCGCUCUGGUCUUAUUGUAACACUGGAACACUGUUCAGGUAAUGACAUAUUUUUUCUCACAAAAAAUGUAUCCAUAUAUUUUUAUGACAUUUCUAUUAAAAUACUUGUGAAGCCCCCGACUCAAUCGUAUACUAAUCAUACACGCAAAUCUGUAUGAUCAAGAUUAAGGACUCACGGGAAGAUAUCACAACACAACUCUAGACAGAAAUUAAAGUAAUACAAGAUUCAUAUUACAAGUCAGGGGCCUCGAGGGCUCGAAUACAAAAGCUCGAAAGCACAAGAGUCAGCGAAAGCAACAAUAUCUGAGUUUAGACAUAAGUUAAUCAAGACUACCUUAAGAAGGCCAGCACAAAAGCAACAACAAUAGAAAAGGCAAGGCCUCCUGCAUGGGACCUCCUAACUACUCCUGGUUGUCGGUGGUCUCCAUGUAGUAGUAGGCUCCGUCGGGGUAGUAGUAGCCGUCGGCGGUGGCAUCUGGCUCCUAGGAUCCACCAUUUGAUCGCAGCAACCAGGUAUAGGGGAAAAGGAGAUAGCAAAGCAACCGUGAGUACUCAUCCAAAGUACUCGCAAGACUGACAUCAGAUCUAUACUAUAAGUAUGCAUCCGUAUCAAAGGAAUGGGCUGUAUCUGUGGACCGAACUGUAGAAUGCCAGAGGAGAAGGGAAAGCCUAGCCUAUCAAAGACUAGCAUCUUCAAGCAUCUUGCAGCAUUCAGAAGAGUACAAAAUAGCAUAUUAAUUAACAAGCAUGUUGUAGCAUUAACGACUAGAGAUCCGUCCUCAACUCCCUGCGAGAAAGCAAUCCCAGAUCCAUCAUAUCCAUCUCAUGUCUCAAGUAUCCUAUGACGCCCCAAGACCGACGCUCCAGACGCCUUCCAUAUUUUUUUCGUUAUCGUUGUGUGUUUUAUUUAUUUGUUGCAUUCAUCAUUGCAUCAUCCGCAUUGCAUCCGCUUGUUUUCUUAAAACUUGCAUCCGUCCCGGUCUCCCCGUUCCUUCCGUUGUCCGUUCUGAGCCCAGACACACUUGCACGCGCCCGCGGCACCUCCGAAAUAUUAUUUUAUAAGUGGCUGGAAAUGUUCUCAGAAUGGGUUGAAAGUUGGCGUGCGGUCUAUUAUAGUGUAGGUAGACCGCCUGUCAAAUUUCAUCGCAUUCGGAGUCCGUUUGAUGCCCCAACGGACAACUAUAGCGACAAUAUAGUCCGUCUAACGUCAGACGUUUUCGGUCUCUAGAAACAGUCGUCGGGCCUCUCUCUUCUCUUCUCUCAGCCCAACCCGCUCUCCACAGCCCACCUAACCCCCCUUCGACCGGAGCCGUCGGAUCACGACCGGAGGGCUCCGAAAGCCCCCAAACCCCCCCAACCGUAGCUCCUACCCUAUAUAUACACCUCCCAUUCUAAAUUUGGGCAUCCCCUAGCCUCCACCUACCUUCUAGCCUUCCCCUCGAGAUCCCCGCAGCCGCCAGCCUCCUCCCUCCUCGAUUUCAGCGCCAAGCCACCCCGCCACCGCCACUUGUCGCCGGCCCAAAGGUCGCGCCGCCACCUGAGGCGUCGCCCCGACCAACCGAGAGCUGCCACAUCACCUCCCCGCUUCCCGCAGCCACUCGCAGCCCUCCACGUCGCCUCCCCAGCGCCCCACUUCGCCGCGGCCCUCAGGGCCCAUCUGGAGCCCGCCCCGAGCCCAUCCAGGGCCCGAGCCGCCGCCGCCUCGCGUCUGAGCUCCUCGUGCGUGAGAGCUCCUGAUCCAGCGCGUCCCCGCCGCCUCGUCGCUCGUCGCCGGACCUCGUCCAGGCCGUCACCGCCCCAUAGAUGAGCUCCGCCGUCCCUGCCUCUUCUCCCUCUCUUCUCCUCCCAUCGCUCACCUCGCCAGCUCUCUCUUUCUCUCCCGCAGGUAAAAACACGCCCCGCUGCCGUUCAUCCAACGCUCUGCCUCGCCGCCGGUCGGAUCCGGUGACCUUCGCCUCGGAUCCGUCGCCCCGACCCGUUUCCGGCCUCCCCUGCCGCUGCCUCGCCCGGAUCAGGUGGAUCCGGUGAGCUCUUCGCCGCCGCCGUCCGCAUCGAGCUCCUGCUCGAUCCCUGCUUCAGGAACGAGACAAUGAGCGCCCAGCAAUCGCGUUGACCGCAUCGGUCAGAUCCGGUGGGCCCGCACUGCUUCCCCGUCGGCCCAGUGCGCCUCCUCUCCAAGGCCCAGCCGUGGCCUCCUCUCUGGCCCAGCCUCAGUUUCAGCCUGCUAGGCCCGAUGUGAGCAGCUCCCCCAGCCCUUCAGUUUCGGCCGCAUCUAUUUUUUUUCGUGCGCUGCGAUUUUAGUAUUAUUCGAGAGAAAACCUGUUUUACAGAUUAGUCCCUAGACUUCAUGCAUUUAAUAACUCCACAACCGUGCAUCGGAUUAAAAUGUUUAAAAUAUGAAAAAUGCUUAGAUUUUCGUCUAGUUUCAUAAUAUGCUGUUUUCAUCCUUGUUUAAAAUGCUGCUUGCAUUUAAUUUGCUAAAUGCCAUGUUAAAAUGAUUUAUUUCAUAACUAAAUAACCGUAGCUCGGAUUUAAAUAAACUUUAUAUGUAAAUGGGGUAGAAAAAUGCAUAGAUUAACUUGGUGCACUUUAUUUUGCUGUUUAACAAAAUUAAAAUUGUGUUUAUGGCAGAACAGUACCUAAUCUAAAAUAUGGACAUGAGGAUUUUCCGGAAUUGUUGUUUGUUGUUCCAGCCUCAUUUAAACUUGCCUAGAUAGGUAGUUUUCAUAUGCUUCACCCUCUUGCCUUGUUAAUCAACAUUUAACAUUGUUGGGUACAUAAACGAGAGAGAACUAAAUAAUUGAUGUGGUGUUUCGUCAAUAUGCAACUCGUUGCAUAUUGAGCUCCACUGAAUUUGUAGUAUUGUUUGUUGCAUUUUGCCAUGCCAUGCCUCAUUAAACCGGACAUGUAUCAUACUUGUCAUGUGUAUGUGGUGGUUGUUUACUAUGUUGUUUGUUUCUUUCCGGGUUGCUUCUCUCGUUAGCUUCGGUUUCGUUCCGGAGUUGUGAGGAUUCGUUCGACUACAUCCGUUUGUCUUCUUCAUGGACUCGUUCUUCUUCCUAGCGGGAUUUCAGGGAAGAUGACCAUACCCUCGAAAUCACUUCUAUCUUUUCUUGCUAGUUGUUCGCUCUUUUUCUAUGCCGCGCUACCUACCACUUGCUUAUCAAGCCUCCCAAAUUGCCAUGAACCUCUAACCUUUGUCACCCUUCCUAGCAAACCGUUGUUUGGCUAUGUUACCGCUUUUGCUCAGCCCCUCUUAUAGCGUUGUUAGUUGCAGGUGAAGAUGAAGUUUGUUCCAUGUUGGAACAUGUUUAUGUUGGGAUAUCACAAUAUCUCUUAUUUAAUUAAUGCAUCUAUAUACUUGGUAAAGGGUGGAAGGUUCGGCCUUAUGCCUCGUGUUUUGUUCCACUCUUGUCGCCCUAGUUUCCGUCAUACCGGUGUUAUGUUCCUUGAUUUUGCGUUCCUUACGCGGUUGGGUGAUUUAUGGGACCCCCUUGACAGUUCGCUUUGAAUAAAACUCCUCCAGCAAGGCCCAACCUUGGUUUUACCAUUUGCCUACCUAAGCCUUUUUCCCUUGGGUUCUGCAGACUCAAGGGUCAUCUUUAUUUUAAACCCCCGGGCCAGUGCUCCUCUGAGUUUUGGUCCAACCCGUCAGUCGCCGGUGGCCACCAGGGGCAACUCUGGGCUCGCCUAUGGAAACUUGGACAAUCCGGUGUGCCCUGAGAACGAGAUAUGUGCAGCUCCUAUCGGGAUUUGUCACACAUUCGGGCGGCUUUGCUGGUCUUGUUUUACCAUUGUCGAAAUGUCUUGUAAACCAGGAUUCCGAGACUGAUCAGGUCUUCCCGGGAGAAGGUUUAUCCUUCGUUGACCGUGAGAGCUUAUAAUGGGCUAAGUUGGGACACCCCUGCAGGGUAUAAACUUUCGAGAGCCGUGCCCCGCGGUUAUGUGGCAGAUGGGAAUUUGUUAAUAUCCGGUUGUAGAGAACUUGACACCCGACUUAAUUAAAACGCAUCAACCGUGUGUGUAGCCGUGAUGGUCUCUUUUUGGCGGAGUCCGGGAAGAGAACACGGCUUUUUGGGUUAUGUUUGACGUAAGUAGGAGUUCAGGAUCAGUUCUUGAUCAUUACUAGUUGACGACCGUUCCGUUGCUCCUCUUCUCGCUCUUAUUUGCGUAUGUUAGCCACCAAUAUGCUUAGUGCUUGCUGCAGCUCCACCUCACUACCUUCUCCUACCCAUAAGCUUAAAUAGUCUUGAUCCUGUGGGUGUGAGAUUGCUGAGUCCUCGUGACUCACAGAUACUUCCAAAACAGUUGCAGGUGCCGACGAUACCAGUGCAGGUGAUGCUACCGAACUCAAGUGGGAGUUCGACGAGGACCUUGGUCGUUACUACGUUUCGUUUCCUGAUGAUCAGUAGUGGAGCCAAGUUGGGACGAUCGGGGAUCUAGCAUUUGGGGUUGUCUUCUUUUCUUUUGGUUCCGUAGUCGGACCCAUGUGUGUACUCUGAAUGAUGUAUGAAUUUUAUUUAUGUAUUGUGUGAAGUGGCGAUUGUAAGCUAACUCUUUAUCCCAUUCUUGUUCAUUACAUGGGAUUGUGUGAAGAUGACCCUUCUUGCGACAAAACCACAAUGCGAUUAUGCCUCUAAGUCGUGCCUCGACACGUGGGAGAUAUAGCCGCAUCGUGGGUGUUACAAGUUGGUAAUCAGAGCCAUCCCCGACUUAGGAGCCCCCUGCUUGAUCGAAUAGCUGACGUUGUGGAGUCUAGAACAAAAAUGUUUUGAGUCUUAGGAUUAUAUAUAUCGGAGAGUAGGAUUCUUUUUACUCCUCUGCCCCUUCGUCGCUCUGGUGAGGCCUCCUGACGUAGAAGUUUUGACUUUCCUCUCCUCAAAUUUCACUAUUUUUUUAGGAUCACGCGGGUAUCUUGGAAUUGUUCCGAUGGUUUUGUGACGAGAACAUUGUUCUUGGUGCCUCCUGACAUUUAGGGGUUGUGGCAGUGUCCCGGGGAGUUGAGCUCCGAGGUGUUGUCGUCACAAUUUUAUCGUUGGAGUUCUGGAAUACCUGAGUUUCGCCGACAUCGAAAAUCUCUUUUAUGCAGUUGUUGGUGAGAUCACCUCGACGCCACCCAGUACUGGGGCGGGAGUUCGGGAGUAUUGCCGUAACUCGUAUAACGGAUGCUUUUCGAAGGUUGAGGUAAAUGAUUUCCGAAGGUUUCUUGGUUAUUUGUUGACGGAUGGAUACAGCUGGAUCUAGGGAUUGUUAGUUUGGGUGAUACAUUUUGUGUCCCCUGUAUCCCCAACACCAGAUUGCAUAACCAGAAAGUUUCGGGAGUUUAUAAGUGGGAAUUCAAGUAUCUCGUAGGAUAUCUUUCCAACACACACAUGAUACGAUAUGGGAUCUAUCAUAUGUUUGUUUCUGGCUUAUUCUGCAAGCCAAAUCCUUUGUUUUGUUUUGGUUUGUGGUAUUCGAGUUGCUUUCAACUCAAGUGUGGAUUCCAUACCUCAUUCUAAGCGGUGUUCUCAUAUUUCUAUGGGAAUACUAAUCCUUUUUUAUCGUCGAGAUUGUCUUGUCAACAUUUUCAACCGGUGUUUUCAUCUUCAAGUUAUUCCAUCCACUUCAUCCUUGUAAGAUCAACUCUCAUCUUCUCAACGUUGUUGUUUUCCCAUCCCCAUUUAUUUUUCUUUCCCGCCCUCCGGCCAUUUUGUCCACGGAGUCUGAAGUCGCUAAUCGAGUAUCCUUCUAUUCAUGCCGAAUCGUCAUGCCAAUUCUUUUUUCAACCGGCGUGCUUCUCUUCAAGAUGAUCCCAUCAUUCUCCCCAUCCGCAAGAUCAACUCUAAGUUUUAUCAACGGUGUUUGUUUCAUCCGUCCCAAGUUUCCUUUGUUUUUCCCGCCCUCCCACCCUUUUCCUUCAAGGAAUCAGAUUUCUUAACCAAGUAUCCAUUUUAUUGACUGAAGUUUCUUCAUUCUUUUCCUUUAAUGUUUUUAUCUGGUGAUUUCUCAUGAAGACGCUAAGGAAGCUUCAACUUUAUCAUUGUUCCAUUCUAAUUUUCUUCUCCGAUGGAUUCAAUUCAAGCUUUCAGUGUUGAUCAUAUUCUUUUCCUCGCUUCAAUGCUUUCUCAUGCCGGUGCACCUCUCAAUCAUUCGCCUCUCACUAUUUUCAUUGGUUCCGGAGUGUACAAGAUAUCUCAGAAGAUUCACAUUUCCAUUCCCAAUCCAUUCAAGCUAUCUCGAGGUUGUUAUCUCUUUUGAGCCAUUUAAUUCAACCGGCGCAAUCUUUCUUUUAAUCAUUCAAUGGUGUAUCUUUUGAGUGGGCCCUAACCCACAGGUCUUUUCCCAGGAUCUUACCUGACUCUUCUAAUUUUCCCGGAGCUUCUAAAAUUCUUUUCAAAGUUUGACGUAAGAAUGGGUUAUCAUCAGUCAUAUGUCUUUCUCCAAGAUCUUUCAAAUUCUUUUCAUCGUUGGUUCAACUUUUCUAAUUUUCAUCCUGGAGUAUCUCAAUAAUUCAUGGUGGUGUUUCUCAUCGUCAUUCUCAACAUUUGAAGACCGAAGAAGAGUUUCUCUUAAAUCUUGCUCCAUUCUCUUCAAGAUUCAUGGUUCUAGCUUGAUGCCAUCCUCUCAUAAUUGUUUUCGAUUGUGAGAAUUCUUUUCACCCACCCGGAGCAUUUCAGAAGUCUUUUUAGUUUGAUUCUCCGGAGCCCAUCAUCUCAGAAUUAUUCAUUCUCAGCUUUCAGAUCUCAUUCUCCAAAUCUUACCGGUGCAUCAUUCAAAUAUCCUCUAAUCAGUUCAUGAUCUCUUCGUUCUCAUGUAUCUAAAUGCUGUCAAGUAUCUUUAUUCGUUUUCUAAUUCUUCCCGGUGAAUUGCGCCUUUGUUACUUUCAUUCUCAAUUCUUACGGUGGUUCAUUCAACAUUCCUAUUCCUUUAUUAUCGUAUCAUUUCAUUUGUUUUUUCUAAUCCUACCGGUGGUUCGUUCAAGACCUUCCCAAGUUUGUUCUAUCUCUCUUUAAUCAUUUUUUUCAAUGAGAAUUAGUGGGAUGCCAAAUCCAUUGUGGGUCAUCAAUUUAAUUGAUGAAGGAUAAGCAUAAUGUAAUUCUUAUUCUUGUUUCAUCGAGUAAAUUCGAUUCCUUAUUCCGGAGGUUCAUCAAAAUUCUUGGUUUCAAGUGCUCAUCUUUCUUUUCCGGAGUUCCAAGUUUUCUCGGUUACAUCAUCGCGAAGCUCCAUCUAAAUCAUUGCAAGAGUUCACCUUGUGUUUUCAACUUCUCUUUCUUUCUAUCAUCAUUUUAUUACCGGAGUUCUUCAUGGAGGCUCUACAUGGUGGUUCGUCAAGGAUUCUUUUCAUCCUUCAAUUGUUCUUCAAGAUUUCUCUCGAAGUUAUGAUUCGUCAAGCUAUACUCUAAAAUAAACAUGGUGCUCAACACAUGUUUGUCUUGAGGAGUCCAAGCAUUCUUCAUCUUGCAUUCUAAAGUGCAAUUCAUUCUACCUUAUCAUUUGAGGUGGUGUUAUGUCAUUCUUGACAAUUUGAGUUUGCGUUUCAUGAUUCACAUGUUGUCAAGAAUGAGAUAUUUUAAAUCCACCAAUCUCUUCGUUGGAUUUAUCUUGUGUCAUGUUUCACCUAAAGCCUUCCCUAAGGAAUGUUGCUAUUAUGGUUCUUAUCAAUGAUCCAAGUUUUCUCCUAUCCUCUCGGCGAGAGAAGUUUUCAUCUCUUCGUUGAUCUCAAGCAAGCAAUUGUUUCCGUAGUGGCAGAACUUUGCCUCAAUUUUGAGAAGUUUUCCAUAAGCCCAUUACAUGCUCAUUCGUUUCGUUGUUGGUUUUUCCAACAACUCCAUUCUAACCUUCUUGGAAGGGUGCUUUCCAAGAUCAUUUGUGGCAGAAGUUGGCAUUUUCUUCUCCAUUCUGUUAUUCCAAUGAUCUAUCUUCCAUUCUUUCUUCCGGAGGCAUUGUGAUGUUGCUCUUUUCACCCAUCAUCUUGAAUUGUGAGGAUCAUGUUCUCUUCGUGCUUAUCCAUUUGACCGGAGUGUUGUGUCUAUCAUUCCUCUUUUAACCGAAGUCUCAUCCAAGUGCUUUCAUUUUGCCAAGUUCAUAUUCUAUCCCUCCCAUUUUCCAACCGGGGCGUUAGCGUAAUUGAUCCUUAUCGUUCCUUGUACAUCUCGUUUCAACCGGAGUGCUUGCAUGUACUUCUCGUCCAUUGUUCUCGUCAUUCAUAGCUUUGCAAACUCCAAGUUUCACAUGGAGUUCCUUGUUUCUCUUUUCUACCGGUGUGCUUUCAUAUUCCUUUUGAUUCGUUAAGCUCUUGUUCCAUAUUCUUCAACCUACAAAGGUUCUCGCAAUGUUCCUUGUUCCUCUUUGAUAACAGAGUGUUUUCAAUCUCGUUCAUCUCCCUCGUAUUCUCUCUUUUCGUUCGUUCAAUCUCUCAAGGUUCAUGGUUUCACUCGUUUGUCAAAGAAGCAACUUAGCUUUACCUCUUCUCUUCCUCUUCCGCUUUUCUCCGGUGCCGUCCUUAGAUCUCGGGACGAGAUCCUCUUGUAGUGGUGGAGUGUUGUGACGCCCCAAGACCGACGCUCCAGACGCCUUCCAUAUUUUUUUUCGUUAUCGUUGUGUGUUUUAUUUGUUUGUUGCAUUCAUCAUUGCAUCAUCCGCAUUGCAUCCGCUUGUUUUCUUAAAACUUGCAUCCGUCCUGGUCUCCCUGUUCCUUCCGUUGUCCGUUCUGAGCCCAGACACACUUGCACGCGCCCGCGGCACCUUCGAAAUAUUAUUUUAUAAGUGGCUGGAAAAUGUUCUCGGAAUGGAUUGAAAGUUGGCGUGCAGUCUAUUAUAGUGUAGGUAGACCGCCUGUCAAAUUUCAUCGCAUUUGGAGUCCGUUUGAUGCCCCAACGGACAACUAUAGCGACAAUAUAGUCGGUCUAACGUCGGACAUUUUCGGUCUCUAGAAACAGUCGUCGGGCCUCUCUCUUCUCUUCUCUUAGCCCAACCCGCUCUCCACAGCCCACCUAACCCCCCUUCGACCGGAGCCAUCGGAUCACGACCGGAGGGCUCCGAAAGCCCCCAAUCCCCCCCAACCGUAGCUCCUACCCUAUAUAUACACCUCCCAUUCUAAAUUUGGGCAUCCCCUAGCCUCCACCUACCUUCUAGCCUUCCCCUCGGGAUCCCCGCAGCCGCCAGCCUCCUCCCUCCUCGAUUUCAGCGCCAAGCCACCCCGCCACCGCCACUUGUCGCCGGCCCAGAGGUCGCGCCGCCACCUGAGGUGUCGCCCCGACCAACCGAGAGCUGCCACAUCACCUCCCCGCUUCCCGCAGCCACUCGCAGCCCUCCACGUCGCCUCCCCAGCGCCCCACUUCGCCGCGGCCCUCAGGGCCCAUCUGGAGCCCGCCCCGAGCCCAUCCAGGGCCCAGCCGCCGCCGCCUCGCGUCUGAGCUCCUCGUGCGUGAGAGCUCCUGAUCCAGCGCGUCCCCGCCGCCUCGUCGCUCGUCGCUGGACCUCGUCCAGGCCGUCACCGCCCCACAGAUGAGCUCCGCCGUCCCUGCCUCUUCUCUCUCUCUCUCUCUCUCUCUCUUCUCCUCCCAUCGCUCACCUUGCCAGCUCUCUCUUUCUCUCCCGCAGGUAACAGUGCGCCCCGCCGCCGUUCAUCCAACGCUCUGCCUCACCGCCGGUCGGAUCCGGUGACCUUCGCCUCGGAUCCGUCGCCCCGACCCGUUUUCGGCCUCCCCUGCCGUGCCUCGCCCGAAUCAGGUGGAUCCGGCGAGCUCUUCGCCGCCGCCAUCCGCAUCGAGCUCCUGCUCGAUCCCUGCUUCAGGAAUGAGACGAUGAGCGCCCAGCAAUCGCGUUGACCUCAUCGGUCAGAUCCGGUGGGCCCGCGCUGCUUCCCCGUCGGCCCAGUGCGCCUCCUCUCCAAGGCCCAGCCGUGGCCUCCUCUCUGGCCCAGCUUCAGUUUCGGCCUGCUAGGCCCGAUGUGAGCAGCUCCCCCAGCCUUCAGUUUCGGCCCGCAUCUAUUUUUUUCGUGCGCUGCGAUUUUAGUAUUAUUCGAGAGAAAACCCGUUUUACAGAUUAGUCCCUAGACUUCAUGCAUUUAAUAACUCCACAACCGUGCAUCGUAUUAAAAUGUUUAAAAUAUGAAAAAUGCUUAGAUUUUCGUCUAGUUUCAUAAUAUGCUGUUUUCAUCCUUGUUUAAAAUGUUUAAAAUGCUGCUUGCAUUUAAUUUGCUAAAUGCCAUGUUAAAAUGAUUUAUUUCAUAACUAAAUAACCGUAGCUCGGAUUUAAAUUAACUUUAUAUGUAAAUGGGGUAGAAAAAUGCAUAGAUUAACUUGGUGCACUUUAUUUUGCUGUUUAACAACAUUAAAAUUGUGUUUAUGGCAGAGCAGUACCUAAUCUAAAAUAUGGACAUGAGGAUUUUCUGGAAUUGUUGUUUGUUGUUCCGGCCUCAUUUAAACUUGCCUAGAUAGGUAGUUUUCAUAUGUUUCACCCUCUUGCCUUGUUAAUCAACAUUUAACAUUGUUGGGUACAUAAACGAGAGAGAACUAAAUAAUUGAUGUGGUGUUUCGUCAAUAUGCAACUCGUUGCAUAUUGAGCUCCACUGAAUUUGUAGUAUUGUUUGUUGCAUUUUGCCAUGCCAUGCCUCAUUAAACCGGACAUGUAUCAUACUUGUUUGUGCAUCAUGCCAUGUGUAUGUGGUGGUUGUUUACUAUGUUGUUUGUUUCUUUCCGGGUUGCUUCUCUCAUUAGCUUCGGUUUCGUUCCGGAGUUGUGAGGAUUCGUUCGACUACAUCCGUUUGUCUUCUUCAUGGACUCGUUCUUCUUCCUAGCGGGAUUUCAGGCAAGAUGACCAUACCCUCGAAAUCACUUCUAUCUUUGCUUGCUAGUUGUUCGCACUUUUGCUAUGCCGCGCUACCUACCACUUGCUUAUCAAGCCUCCCAAAUUGCCAUGAACCUCUAACCUUUGUCACCCUUCCUAGCAAACCGUUGUUUGGCUAUGUUACCGCUUUUGCUCAGCCCCUCUUAUAGCGUUGUUAGUUGCAGGUGAAGAUGAAGUUUGUUCCAUGUUGGAACAUGUUUAUGUUGGGAUAUCACAAUAUCUCUUAUUUAAUUAAUGCAUCUAUAUACUUGGUAAAGGGUGGAAGGCUCGGCCUUAUGCCUGGUGUUUUGUUCCACUCUUGUCGCCCUAGUUUCCGUCAUACCGGUGUUAUGUUCCUUGAUUUUGCGUUCCUUACGCGGUUGGGUGAUUUAUGGGACCCCCUAGACAGUUCGCUUUGAAUAAAACUCCUCCAGCAAGGCCCAACCUUGGUUUUACCAUUUGCCUACCUAAGCCUUUUUCCCUUGGGUUCUGCAGACUCAAGGGUCAUCUUUAUUUUAAACCCCCGGGCCAGUGCUCCUCUGAGUGUUGGUCCAACCCGUCAGUCGCCUGUGGCCUCCAGGGGCAACUCUGGGCUCGCCUAUCGGAAGCUUGGACAAUCCGGUGUGCCCUGAGAACGAGAUAUGUGCAGCUCCUAUCGGGAUUUAUCGGCACAUUCGGGCGGCUUUGCUGGUCUUGUUUUACCAUUGUCGAAAUGUCUUGUAAACCGGGAUUCCGAGACUGAUCGGGUCUUCCCGGGAGAAGGUUUAUCCUUCGUUGACCAUGAGAGCUUAUAAUGGGCUAAGUUGGGACACCCCUGCAGGGUAUAAACUUUCAAGAGCCGUGCCCGCGGUUAUGUGGCAGAUGGGAAUUUGUUAAUAUCCGGUUGUAGAGAACUUGACACUCGACUUAAUUAAAACGCAUCAACCGUGUGUGUAGCCGUGAUGGUCUCUUUUCGGCGGAGUCCAGGAAGAGAACACGGCUUUUUGGGUUAUGUUUGACGUAAGUAGGAGUUCAGGAUCAGUUCUUGAUCAUUACUAGUUGACGACCGUUCCGUUGCUCCUCUUCUCGCUCUUAUUUGCGUAUGUUAGCCACCAUAUAUGCUUAGUGCUUGCUGCAGCUCCACCUCACUACCUUCUCCUACCCAUAAGCUUAAAUAGUCUUGAUCUUGUGGGUGUGAGAUUGCUGAGUCCUCGAGACUCAAAGAUACUUCCAAAACAGUUGCAGGUGCCGACGAUACCAGUGCAGGUGAUGCUACUGAACUCAAGUGGGAGUUCGACGAGGACCUCGGUUGUUACUACGUUUUGUUUCCUGAUGAUCAGUAGUGGAGCCCAGUUGGGACGAUCGGGGAUCUAGCAUUUGGGGCUGUCUUCUUUUCUUUUGGUUCCGUAGUCGGACCCAUGUGUGUACUCUGAAUGAUGUAUGAAUUUUAUUUAUGUAUUGUGUGAAGUGGCGAUUGUAAGCCAACUCUUUAUCCCAUUCUUGUUCAUUACACGGGAUUGUGUGAAGAUGACCCUUCUUGCGACAAAACCACAAUGCGGUUAUGCCUCUAAGUCGUGCCUCGACACGUGGGAGAUAUAGCCGCAUCGUGGGUGUUACAUAUCCAUUUCUAGUUGUAAUAGAUCUGGAUACAACUCCGAGCGUCUGUUACCAUGGACACGGCUAUUCGAAUAGAUAACUUCCCUGUAGGGGUGCACCAGAUUACCCAACAUGUUUGAUUACUCUGGCCGGACACACUUUCCUGGGUCAUGCCCGACCUCGGAAGAUCAACACAUCGUAGUCGUCGCUAGGCUCCACAGAGAGGUCCCCGCUGGUAUACAUCCUAAGCACUCCGGGGUCUUGGGCUCAUCACCCUUUGCACUCCGGGUCAUUAUGCGAUGAGCCAGGAUGAGCACCACCUCAUCAUGGAUGGCACUGGCCCGAGGCACACAAUGUUGAACUGGACGUCUGACAGAGCUUUCAGAAGAAAUGUACGACGCCAAGUGCCCAUAAGUGUUCCCGCGUGGCGGUUAGUGCGUAUAGGCCAGUGGCCAACUCAGAUCAAAUACCCAAACCCUUAGUGUAUUGGGAGCUCAUGGAGACGAGCAGAGACUCACGAUCAUGUGACCCCGUCGCCCCGUCUCGAGGAAAUACGGCAAGGGCUAGCCCAUCCCACUCCGGAGCGGUCUGCCUGCCCGACUGUGCCUCGUAAUUAUCUCACGGGUGGUCUCUGGGCCCGCCCGACUUUCACAGGUAUCUCUCGGGGGUACCCCUCGGGGUCGACCCGACUUCAACAGGGUUCUGAAGUAAAAGUCAAGGUAACCAUGUGUCCAAAACAUCAAGGUGAAAACCUGAGGAAUCACCUUCGAUGGAUUCCACUCGAUGUGACCGUCAAGGCAAAGUUAGGAGGAAUCACCCUCAAGGUUCACACUUGAGGUGUUGCACGACAGAGUCGUAUCGGGAGUGGUGAAGGAGGAAUCACCCUUGAAAGACCACGACCUAGUAGAUACACUACAAAGUUAUCAUCAGGAGUGCGUUAUGAGGUAUCACCCUCGGCACUCGACAGUAGCUGUACAGAGUCGAGCAACAGAAGGGGGUGUGAUGUGAUGUGUCAGGCUCUAGACGUCGAUCAUGUUGAUCGAGUCAUGGGCGAUGAAGCAGGGGCAACAUGGACAAGGUGAGGGAUCACUGAUGGAUCACUAACCAACCUAUACUAAGCAGUUUAGGAUAAGCAGGUAAGGUACAAGUGCAGGUUACAAAAGUAGGCUAUGCAUCAGAACAGGAGUAAUCAAUUACAAUAGCAAAAUCUAAUUCAAGCAUGAGAGAGAAUGGAAUGGGAGAUAUCGGAAUGAUCAAGGGGGGUUUACUUGCCUGGAAGCUCUGCUGAAAAGGAAGAAUGGUCGUCGGUGACAUAGUCGAUCACAGGGGCAGCGUCGGUCUCAGGGUUUACCGGAGAGAAGAGGGGGAAGAAACAGUAAAUAUAAAGCAAACAGAUGCAUGACAUGACAACAUGCACAACUAGGGGUGCUCUAACACGGUGCUACACGAUACCGGUGAAGGGGGAAAACAUCCGGGAAUGUUUUCCCAGCGUUUGGCCUUUUCGGACAGAUGAAACGGAGGGGGACGUUUCCAUGUUCGCUAUGCUAGGGGCAUGUGAGAGACGAAUGGGGGGCAUAUUCGGAUUUGUCACAUUUUUCUGAGCAACUUUCAUGUAUAAAUUAUUAUAAUCCGAGUUAUGGUUUAUUUUCUAUUCAUUUUCAAAGAUUUAAUAAUAUUAUGGAAUUUCCUAUAUUAAAUUAAUUCGAAAAUUAAAAUACCUAAACUACUACGGGUACACACAGAAGUGUACCCAACAGUGCGCAAGAGGCUGACAUGUGGGAUCCUGGUCAACUGUCCAGUCAGCGUUGACUGGUCAAAUGGGCCAAGGGGUCCACAAGUGAGUGUCGCAGAUAUCUAAACGAGUUUCUUUUUAAACCUAAAUGCGUAAUUAACAGCGGGUCGGGCCCGCUAGUCAGUGACACUAGAGGGGGUCAUUAGUGGUUAAUUAAUUGGAGUUAACCGGUGGCUAACCCCGGCGUUAAUCCAACGUGGCGGAGGAGCUCCGGCCGGCCGUUUCCGGCGACGGGCGGAGCUGUGGUUGGGCUCGGCCGACGCAGCACGGCGAGGCGCACUGAACGGUGGCCACGUGGCUGCCGGAGGUGGGUUGCAGGGGCGCUGGCGUCGAGCGGAGCAACGCCGUGGCUCGGCCUCGCAGCGGGCGCACGCGCAGCUCGAUGGGCACAUGCGGGGGCGAGGUAGGAUGCGGGCGGCGCGUGCGGGGCGUGAGUAGACCACAAUGGGCACGCCGGUGGGCGCGGGCAGGCGCAACAAUUUUAUCUGCACCAAGCACCGAUGCAUAUUCAUUUUCAAUGUACAUCUACAACUUUUGUACAAUUGAAACAAAUUUGACAUCUUUUUGUCAAGUAUGAAAAUUAUUAUGAAGUGAUGAACAUUGUUUACAACACUUAUAAGCAUUUUUCGGGACCAUGGAAACAAUUUUCCGGGAUCAAGAAAUUCACCUAAUGGCACAAUAUAAUCAAGCAAAGUAGUUGUAUCAUCAUAAGCAUCAUGCAUAGAAGAAGUGGCAUCAUCAAUUACUUGCGACAUAUCAGAAUCAAUAGCAGGUGUAGGUGUCGCAAGUUUACUCAAAACAGAAGGUGAAUCAGUUAGAUGGCAGUUCCUUACCUCCCCUCGUAGUAGAGGGAUAGAUCUUAGUUUUGUGGUCUUUCAGAUUCCUGAUAGUGAUCAAUAGAUAUAAAUCCCAAGUGAGUCAGAGAAUAGAGCUAUGCUCCCCGGCAACGGCGCCAGAAAAAGGUCUUGAUAACCCACAAGUAUAGGGGUUCGCAACAGUUUUCGAGGGUAGAGUAUUCAACCCAAAUUUAUUGAUUCGACACAAGGGGAGCCAAAAAAUAUUCUCAAGUAUUAGCAGCUGAGUUGUCAAUUCAACCACACCUGAAAGACUUAAUAUCUGCAACAAAGUAUUUAGUAGCAAAGUAGUAUGUGAUGCAACUUGAAGCUAUGUCGGUAUUUCCCCAAAGAGGAAGGGAUGAUGCAGCACAGCGGCGGUAGGUAUUUCCCUUAGUGAUGGAACCAAGGUUAUCGAACCAGUAGGAGAAACAAGCAACACAACGUAAACAACACCUGCACACAAGUAACAAAUACUCGCAACCCGACGUGUAAAAGGGGUUGUCAAUCCCUUUCGGGCAACGACGCCAGAGAUAGGCAAACGAACGUGAGAGAGUUGUAAAUAUUGAUAGAUCGAACGCCAAAUAAAAUAAAUUGCAGCAAGGUAUUUUUGUAUUUUUGGUUUAAUAGAUCUGAAAAUAAAAGCAAAGGAAAAUAGAUCUCAAAGGCAAAUAUAAUAAAAAAGAGACCCGGGGGCCGUAGAUUUCACUAGUGGCUUCUCUCGAGAAAAAUAGCAAACGGUGGGUAAUAGAAUUACCGUUGGACAAUUGAUAGAACUUCAAAUAAUGAUGACGAUAUCCAGGCAAUGAUCAUUAGGCAUCACGUCCAAGAUUAGUAGACCGACUCCUGCCUGCAUCUACUGCUAUUACUCCACACAUCGACCACUAUCCAGCAUGCAUCUAGUGUAUUAAGUUCAUGGAGAAACAGAGUAAUGUAAUAAGAACGAUGACAUGAUGUAGACAAGAUCUAUUUAUGUAAAAAUAGACCCCAUCAUUUUAUCCUUAGUAGCAACGAUACAUAUGUGUCGGUUCCCCUUCUGUCACUGGGAUCAAGCACCGUAAGAUCAAACCCACUACAAAGCACCUCUUCCCAUUGCAAGAUAAAUAGAUCAAGUUGGCCAAACAAAACCCAAAUAUCAAAGAAGAAUACGAGGCUAUAAGCAAUCAUGCAUAUACACUACAAAAAAAAUACACUUCCGUGAUGACACGUGUUUGUCACAGUAGGUCGCGUUUUUUGUCAUGCAUGUACAUCCAUGACAAAUUUAUGACAGAAUCAAGAUAGUCAUACCUGUGCUGUCGUAGAAGUGUUCCAUGACAUUACCAAAAUUAUCAUCACGGAAGUGUCCACUUCCAUGACGAUAAAUCACGCGUCACAGAAGUGCUUUCGUCAAGGGUGACCGACACGUGGCAUCCACCGUAACGGAACGCCGUUAAGCUAUCGGGUCGGGUUUUGGAUCCGAUAACCCGUUAACAGCCCCGACCAAUGGGGAUUUUCCACGUGUAAAAUCAUCAUUGGCUGGAGGAAACACGUGUUGGCUCAUCGUUGGGACAGAUGUCAUCCACUCAUUGGACAGAAGGCGCCUAUGAUACGUCGACACGUGGCACGGCCCAACAGAGGCCCAUUCCUGUGAAAAGGCCAGCCCGUUUGACUUGGUCAAAAGGUGGCGGGCCGACCCAUGGAAAGCCUGUUAACGGCCUGUUCGCAUAUAGCCCAUUUACAGCCGCUAACCCAAGGCCCGUUACGCCCUAUCCGAAUUAGGCCCAGUAGCAUCAUCUGGGCCAUCCAAUAUGAUUCCAGCCCGUUUUCACUUCUGGCCCAUGUAUGGCCCAUGACGUCUUUCGACCCAUAUGAGGCCCUAUGUAACUCUUGGCCUCUUAACGGCCCGUGGUGAAACUGGCCCGUAAUGAACAGUGUAUCACUUUACACCCAUUAACGACCCGUGGUGAAACUGGCCCGUAAUGAACAGUGUAUCACUUUAUACCCAUUAACGGCCUGUUAUUCCGUUGGGCCGUUUCCAACCCAUGUUAUCUUUCGGCCUUCUCAAAGCCCAUUUAUUCUUCGGCUCAUUUCCAGCAUUCGUUUACUUACGGCCCGUUACUGUCAUUUUCUGCUUGUGGGCCAAAUUCAGCCCGUGGUUACAGUCGGCCCGUUUGUGGUCCGUUAAUACGUUGGUCCGUUUUCAUAGCAUCAUCAAAUACGGCCUAUUAACAAUGGCCCGUUAUGGUCGGCCCAUGAAUGGAUGAUUCCAACUCUAGCCCGUUUACGGCCAUAAUGCGGUCUGUUUGGCCCAUGUUUGGCCAAUCGAUCAUACGGCCCGUAUAAGGCCCAUUGAUGAUACAGCCCGCAGAAGGCCCAUUGUUUCUACGACCCGUAGAAGGCCCAUUGUUUCUAUGGCCCGUAGAAGGCCCACUGUUUCUACGGCCAGUAGGAGGCCCAGUGUCACUACAGUAAAUAUUAGCCCAUGGUUAUUGUGGCCUAGUUUUAAAAAAUAGGUUAUUGCAGCCACUAGCUAACCGCGGAAAAAGAACUGCAAUUACUACAAGCAAACAAAUAAACAAGACAACAAGGAAAUAAAUAAGCAAGCAACUAACGCUAGGCUAUCACGGCUAUUACACAUAUUACAUCCAUUGGGCAUCAAAGUUUGCCACCAGUGCAAUACAGGGAACAAAGCAGCAUAUCAUAUACACUGGUUGUCAAAGUUGGCGACCAGCGCAAAUAAACGCUGCAGCAAAACAAAUCCAGAACUGAAACCACUUCAGAAGAUCUCAAGAAACAAUAUCCUGGGUACCCAUAAUGCUGGCAAGAUGCUUAGCAAGCUUAUUAACUUUCUCUUGUUUGGCGCUUAAAUCCUCCAGUGCUUGCUGUUGCACCAGAAAAUAUGCAUCUGAAUUCUGCAGGGACUUCCUCAGUCCUUCAGCUUCCUGUCGCAGCACAUCUGAUCGAUGUCUUUCAACUUGAAGUUGAGACUCAAGAAGACGAACUGAUUCAGGCAGCGAGUUCGAAGAUCUUGUGCCAGCAGUAGUGGCCAGUAACUCGAACACUACAUCAAGACAGGACUUUUGGGUUCCCUCACUGUCGUCAAGAUAGUUUUUAUCAGCUUUCUUGGAGACAACGGGGAUGUCUCACUAUCUUGAACCUUAUCUGCAUUACUUCCUUUACCAUUGGAUAACGCGGUAUUGUUCUCCAAUAUUUUGUCCGCAUUCUAAGAGAGAAACAAGCAGACACAUCACAUGUUUACCAUGUUAUAUAUGAUACUCAUUUUGGUAAAUGAGUUUAGUAGUAAAGUGGACAGGAUAACAGCAUGAAACAAACAUAUAUCUAUGUACCAUGGUCACUUUAUGGUCUAUAUCAUUCUAGUUUUUCUUGCCAAAUCAAGAUAGAGACACAGUUCAAAUAAUAUUUGUUCAAGACAAAGCAGAAUAGAAAGAAUAUAAGUGUGGGUAACUAUAGAGCAAUGACAACACUUGUAAUGUGCAUGACAUGAGAACAUAACUGUUUAUUCAAUUGAAACUGAAAUCAACAUAGAGCAGGUUACAACAGACAACCAGUUAAAGAAACAGGUUUAAAACAUACCUGUUGCGCCAUUGGAGUUUCAAUUCCAUCCUUCAAAUUUGAAAAUAGUUGGUAUGAGUAAAUAUAGUAAUGCAAGAGCAAAGGAGUAUGAACCAUAGCUACAGAACCUGACCUGAGAACAAAUCUUCUUCUCCUUUAAGCGUUGAGUUGGGAUUCGGAGUGGUGGUUCUCGUGCUUUGGGCACUGCAGUUCCCUUACUAACUGCUCGUGUUUGGGUGCUCUAUGGUGGAGACGGCGCUGUGUCAACUGGAAUUGGGUUACUAUCUACCGGGGUUGGGAUUAGAAGGGGUGUAGCAGGUUCUCUGUCCAACUGGGUAGGGGUUCAAUCUGCGAGAGUCUGGGUUAUGUGUGGUGGAUCUGGUCCUUGGGCAAGUACAACCGUGGUUCUAUCUGCAUCAACUGGUAGCACUAUCUUUUCUGAAGACCGUGUUGUUACUCCCUUAGAUACUGCCAUCACGCUCUCCAAUUCAAAUGGCUGAUAAACAAGAAAAGUAAUUGAAAGUAUAGACAUUGUAUGAUAGACAGGUGCAAUGGAUAGUGGGGAAUAAAAGAGGGCAUGAAAUAAUUCAUAUUUAUGUUGUCUAACCAAACAGGAUAGCAUGACACAAUUUCACAUAUAUGAUGGCUAACUAAACAGGAUAGCAUGACACAAUUUCACAUUAUGAUGGCUAACUAAAAAAGAUGGAAAGACAUAGUUCAAAAUAUGAGACUAUGUAAAUAGGAUGGCAUGACAUAACUAUAUAAUGUGUUUAUUAAAUAGGUUGGCAUGCCAUAAUUCACAUACAUUCACGGAUAGAAUGCCAUAAUUCAAAAUAUGAUGACUGUAAACACUAAACAGGAUGAGAUGAUAUAACUAUAGGAUGUCUUUAUUAAAUGGGUUGCCAUGCCAUAAUUCAGAUAGAUGAUGUGUAUGUACUAUGUAAACAUGAUGGCAUGAUAUAAUUCAAAUAUAUGAUUUAUAUAGUAAGCAAGUAAGCGGAUGGCAAUCCAUAUAUGAUGUAAAAACUAAGCAAUGCAAGACAACAUGCAUGACAUGGGUAAUACAACCCUGCCAAGUUUGAGCAUAGACCUCAGGGGGGAAAUAGGACUGGUCAUCAUUCUCUGAAUCCUCCUCUGAGGAUCUCUCUGUAACCAGCAAGAUGUCUGCUUCAGCAGGUAGCAUUGUCUGCUCUGAAUACCUUGUUUUCACUCUAGAUACUUCCAUCACCGCUUCAAAUGGCUGAUGCACAGGAAGAGUAGUUGAAUAUACAAACGUUGUCGACAAAUGGAACACGUAAUACAAAAAAAUGAUAGCAUGAUAUAAUUCACAUACAUGAUGAUUGGCUAAACAGCAUGGCAUUGCAUAAUUCACAUAUAUAAUGCCUUUGCAACAAGAUAGCAUUGUAUAAUUCACAUAUAUAAUGUCUUGCAACAACAUGGCAAUGCAUAAUUCACAUAUAUGGUAAUUAGACACUGAACAGGUGGCAUUCACACAAAGCAUGUCUAAACUAAUCAAAUGACAUAGCAAUGCGAGACACCAUACGCACGAUAUGAGCAACAUAACCCUGCCAAGUUAGAGCAUACACCUCGGGGGGGANNNNNNNNNNGCAUAAUUCACAUAUAUGGUAAUUAGACACUGAACAGGUGGCAUUCACACAAAGCAUGUCUAAACUAAUCAAAUGACAUAGCAAUGCGAGACACCAUACGCACGAUAUGAGCAACAUAACCUUGCCAAGUUAGAGCAUACACCUCGGGGGGGGGGGGAAUAGGACUGGUCAUCUGUCUCUGAAUCCUCCUCUGAGGAGCUAUCCGUAACCAGCAAGAUAUGCGCUUCGUCAGAUAACAUAGUCUGCUCUGAAGACCUUGUUUUCACUCCAGAAUUUGCCAUCACCGUGUCAAAUGGCUGAUGCACACGAAGAGCAGUUGAAUGUACUAACAUUGUUGACAAAUGUAAUAUGUAACAAAAAAAAAA